rnacentral:sRNA from 1 species
GCUGGGUGUGGUGGUGCAUGCUUGUAAUUCCAGCAACUAAGGAGGCUGAGGCAGGAGGAACACAAGUUCAAGGUCAUCCUGGGAAAUUUAGUGAGACUCUGUCUCAA